rnacentral:rRNA from 1 species
CAGCAGCCGCGGGAAUACGAAGGGUGCAAGCGUUAAUCGGAAUUACUGGGCGUAAAGCGUGCGUAGGCGGUUUGUUAAGUCUGCUGUGAAAUCCCCGGGCUCAACCUGGGAAUGGCAGUGGAUACUGGCAAGCUAGAGUGUGUCAGAGGAUGGUGGAAUUCCCGGUGUAGCGGUGAAAUGCGUAGAGAUCGGGAGGAACAUCAGUGGCGAAGGCGGCCAUCUGGGACAACACUGACGCUGAGGUACGAAAGCGUGGGGAGCAAACAGGAUUAGAUACCCCUGUAGUCCCUGUCUCUUAUAA